GAUGAACGCUGGCUGUGUGCCUAAUACAUGCAUGUCGAGCGAAGCACUUUUGUGCUUAGCGGCGAAUGGGUGAGUAACACGUACUUAACCUACCCUCAAGAUUGGGACAACACUUGGAAACGAGUGCUAAUACCAAAUACGUAUUUUUAUCGCAUGAUAGAUAUAUAAAAGGAGCUUCGGCUUCACUAGAGGAUGGGAGUGCGCUACAUUAGCUAGUUGGUAGGGUAAUGGCCUACCAAGACUAUGAUGUAUAGCGGGGCCGAGAGGCUGAUCCGCCACACUGGGACUGAGAUACGGCCCAGACUCCUACGGGAGGCAGCAGUAGGGAAUUUUCCACAAUGAACGAAAGUUUGAUGGAGCGACACAGCGUGCAGGAUGAAGGUCUUCGGAUUGUAAACUGCUGUUAUAAGAGAAGAAAAACCCUGGUAGGUAAUGACCAGGACUUGACGGUACCUUAUCAGAAAGCGACGGCUAACUAUGUGCCAGCAGCCGCGGUAAUACAUAGGUCGCAAGCGUUAUCCGGAAUUAUUGGGCGUAAAGAGUUCGUAGGUGGUUUUGUAAGUCUGAAGUUAAAUACCGGGGCUCAACCCCGGCCCGCUUUGGAUACUGCAAAACUAGAGUAAUAGAGAGGUUAGUGGAACUCCAAGUGAAGCGGUGGAAUGCGUAGAUAUUUGGAAGAACACCAAUGGCGAAGGCAACUAACUGGAUAUUAACUGACACUGAGGAACGAAAGCGUGGGUAGCAAACAGG
rnacentral:rRNA from 1 species